UCCAGCUGUCUGCUCUCUCUCUCAGCUGUCUGCUCCAGCUGUCUGCUCUCUCUCUCAGCUGUCUGCUCCAGCUGUCUGCUCUCUCUCUCAGCUGUCUGUGCUCUCUCAGCUGUCUGUGCUCUCUCUCUCAGCUGUCUGUGCUCUCUCUCAGCUGUCUGUGCUCUCUCUCAGCUGUCUGUUCUCUCUCUCAGCUGUCUGCUCUCUCUCUCUCAGCUGUCUGCUCUCUCUCUCUCAGCUGUCUGCUCUCUCUCUCAGCUGUCUGCUCUCUCUCUCAGCUGUCUGUGCUCUCAGCUGUCUGCUCUCUCUCUCUCUCAGCUGUCUGCUCUCUCUCUCUCAGCUGUCUGCUCUCUCUUUCAGCUGUCUGCUCUCUCUCAGCUGUCUGCUCUCUCUCAGCUGUCUGUGAUCUCUCUCUCUCUCUCUCUCUGUGUGAGUGCUGUGAAAGGGGUAAAGGGGAUUAAAGCAGUAACCUGUGGGAUUCUCAGCAGGAUCCCAGCAGACUGUAUGAGGUCUCAGUGUGCAGCUCUAACCUGUCCUGCAUGGACGGAGUGUCCGAGCGCUUCUCCUCUGGCACCAUGAAGCUGCCUGCAGCCAACACAACCCCCACAUACAGCGCGUCCCCCAUCACCCGACCCGACGCGGAACCCGAACCGCAGCAGAGACACUCGGGGCAGAAACAGAAGGAAAAGCCGGGGAGUAAAUUCCCUCUCAACAGAAAGUUUUCUUCCCGGAAAUGAAGCAAUGGCGAAGCGAAAUGACGUCACCUCCGUUUAAAUUCGAAAUCCCGCUGAAUCCUGCGAGAACACUUCGUCACGUCCCCGCCCCACCCCACCCCCCUGCAAUCAGUGAAGGAGUCAAAGCUGGCGGAGUUGCUGAAGCUCUCAGAGGGUCGGGCUCAGGAGUCAGCUCCUCUGUCCUGGAGCUGUGGGGUCUGGGAGUGGGGCAGAGCGCUGACACUGGAGACUCCUUCCACAGAACCACAGCUGCACCAUUACACACCUGUUUACCAUCAGUGUUUACCCCCAGAACACACCCCAUAUCAUACACAUCCCAAUCAGCUGCUGCUAUAGAAACCUUCAGGUCUCAGGGCAUUAACAGAAACCCGCACUACUGCCAGAGCCGCUGUUACAGAGAAUUAAUCAACACCUGCUGACCAGUCAGAGUGCAGAACUCAGCGGCGCUGAAGAAUGAAUGCAGCCAAUACAGUUUACACCCGGCUGUUGUGGGACGAUCCAGCAGAGGAAAUGAGGAGGGAACCCCCCCCCGGCGCUCUCUUAUUACACACACACACUCCCGUUUAAAAGGCCACUGCGCACUGUGUUUAUUGUGCACAGAGGCACUGUGGGUAAAACAGUGUGUUAAUAAGGAGGUGUGUUGGAUCUGAGCACUGCGAGUGUGUAUCAUGUGUGUGUGUAGAGCUCUGUUCGUCCUCUGGAUCUUCUCGCUUCUCAGCAGGAACGGGUUCGGUUAUAAUGAUGAGGAUUAUUCCGAUUUCUCCUAUAAUGACAUCACAGAUGGAGAUGAGCCAGAGACUUCUCCUUGUCCCUGUGAUGGUGGAGAGCGAUUACAUUGGGAGAAGCUCUUCAUCAGGAUGGAGGACUCACACAUGAUGCAGAAG